rnacentral:rRNA from 1 species
UCCGUAGGCGGUGCGGCAAGUCGGAAGUGAAAUCUCAGGGCUUAACCCUGAGGCUGCUUCCGAAACUGCCGUGCUCGAGUGCGAGAGAGGCGAGUGGAAUUGCAGGUGUAGCGGUGAAAUGCGUAGAUAUCUGCAGGUAACAUCCGAGGCGAAAGCGGCUCGCUGGAUCGCAACUGACGCUGAGGGACGAAAGCUAGGGGAGCAAACAGGAUUAGAUACCCUGGUAGUCCUAGCCCUAAACGAUCAGGACUGGGCGUGGGCCUCGUACGGGGCUCGUGCCGCAGCUAACGCGUUAAGUCCUGCGCCUGGGGAGUACGGUCGCGAAGGCUGAA